CAGCCGCGGUAAUUCCAGCUCCAAUAGCGUAUAUUAAAGCUGUUGCGGUUAAAAAGCUCGUAAUUGGUUCUGUGUGACAUGCUGUUGGUUCACCGCCUGUCGGUGUAACUGACAUGUCGUGGGACGUCCUGUUGGUGGUAGUUAAACUGGCCAACUUUACAGUUGCUUGUCUCUGUAUAUUGUUGGUGAUGUUUAAUUGCCGAUUAAACCUGCCGCGGUGCUCUUUACUGAGUGUCGAGGGAGGCCGACAUGUUUACUUUGAACAAAUUAGAGUGAUUAAAGCAGGCAAAUAUUUGCCUGAAUAGUGGUGCAUGGAAUAAUGGAAUAAGACUUUGGUUCUAAUUUGUUGGUUUUUCGGAAUCCAAGGUAAUGAUCAAUAUGGACGGUCGGGGGCAUUCGUAUUGCGACGUUAGAGGUGAAAUUCUUGGAUCGUCGCAAGACGAACUAGAGCGAAAGCAUUUGCCAAGUAUGUCUUAAUUGAUCAAGAACGAAAGUUAGAGGUUCGAAGGCGAUCAGAUACCGCCCUAGUUCUAACCAUAAACGAUGUCAGCCAGCAAUCCGCCGAG
rnacentral:rRNA from 1 species